rnacentral:lncRNA from 1 species
CGUAUGUUGUAGCGUUGUCCGACUAACUCACCCCUUGUGGACGUAUGUUGUAGCGUUGUCCGACUAACUCACCCCUUGUGGACGUAUGUUGUAGCGUUGUCAGACUAACUCACCCCUUGUGGACGUGCGUUGUCCGACUAACUCACCCCUUGUGGACGUAUGUUGUAGCGUUGUCUGACUAACUCACCCCUUGUGGACGUAUGUUGUAGCGUUGUGUGACUAACUCACCCCUUGUGGACGUGUGUUGUCCGACUAACUCACCCCUUGUGGGCGUAUGUUGUAGCGUUGUCCGACUAACUCACCCCUUGUGGACGUAUGUUGUAGCAUUGUCCGACUAACUCACCCCUUGUGGACGUAUGUUGUAGCGUUGUCUGACUAACUCACCCCUUGUGGACGUAUGUUGUAGCGUUGUGUGACUAACUCACCCCUUGUGGACGUAUGUUGUAGCGUUGUCCGACUAACUCACCCCUUGUGGACGUAUGUUGUAGCAUUGUCCGACUAACUCAACCCUUGUGGACGUAUGUUGUAGCGUUGUCCGACUAACUCGCCCCUUGUGGACGUGCGUUGUCCGACUAACUCACCCCUUGUGGACGUAUGUUGG